UACGUAGGCAGCGAGCGUUGUUCGGAGUUACUGGGCGUAAAGAGUGCGUAGGCGGUUUUCUAAGUUUGGUGUGAAAUCUCCCGGCUCAACUGGGAGGGUGCGCCGAAGACUGGAAGGCUUGAGUAUGGGAGAGGUAAGCGGAAUUCCUGGUGUAGCGGUGAAAUGCGUAGAUAUCAGGAGGAACACCGGUGGCGAAGGCGGAUCUCUGGGCCAUUACUGACGCUGAGGAGCGAAAGCGUGGGGAGCGAACAGG
rnacentral:rRNA from 1 species